CAGUUUGCACAGCCUCUCCAACCUUUGAUAGAUUUGCUACCACUCUGCUAAGGCCCUCUCCUGGUUCACCCUGAAGACUCAUCUCAUUAGCCUCUGCCAAAAGGAGAUGGCCAGCCUAGAACCCAGAUCAGACCCUACUCCUGGAUGCCUCUGUAUCAAGAUAUAGAACCCUUGGCUCUUCCACUACCAUGUCUGCCUGCAUGAUGCCAUGCUUCCUGCCAAGAUGACAAUGGACUGAACCUCUGAAACUAUAAGCCAGACCCA
rnacentral:lncRNA from 1 species